UGCACCAACAAAUCAGGAGGUUAGUUGUCUAAGUGCUACGAGCCAUGCCCUCGAUUCAUUGCAGCUGCUUUUAUUUGUCAGUGGAAAAUCAUGCCCCUAAGUCUGAAGGCCUGUCUGAAAAUCACCCCAUUGUCUGCUUCUGCAGGUAAGCAAAGAAAGAGGGAGAGAGGGAUGCACACGCAGAUAUCAACACACAGAUUUCCAGCCUGAAUUUGUAUCACUUUUGGUUCUUCAAAGGUAAACAAAUAGAUUGGUGGUGUUUUUUUCCCCUCCUGCAGCUGCUGAGCUGGUGUGCGGUGUCUUUUGUAGAGAGAGUCCUUUUUAAAAGCUCUGGGAAGCAGUUCCAGCAUUUUCUAUAGGUGCAGACAGAUAAUUGAAUGCUUUCAAAGAACACUGUGAGGCAGGAAAACUUCAAUUUUGCAGCAUCGCGUUCCCUGCAUGGACUGAGCUUUGUGCCUUGGUUUGUGAUGGUUAUUCCCUGCUUUUCUCACAGCUAUUCUUCUGGGUGUACUUAUAGAGCACAGAAGCAGAGCAUAGAGGCUCUUGGGACACAUUGCAUCAGGCCUGCAGUUAAAAAGCUGAAAGAAAAAAUCUGAGUGACACAGGAACAUGAUAGCGAUAUUCAUUUCAACUCUUUGAAGACAUGGCUGGACCUGAAAGAGGCGUUCCGCGGAAAGAUAGCUUAUUUGGGCCUUGGCCUUGCACUCCCUUGUGGGUGCACAGCAGGGAGUUCCAGCUUGUUGCAGUUCAGUAGGAAGUAAUCUCUAGCUAAUGAAGUCAGACCUGCUGGACCAUUUUACAUGGCUCCUGGAGCUUUUCCGUUGACUUGGUCCUGUGAAGAUCCAGUCUCUUACCAUGGAUUAACUCUGUAGCUCUGGCAGCGCAGCUGUGGGAAUUGGCAAAGAUUUGAGCAAUGCAUGCUGCUGUCCAAGGUGGUUUUGGCUGGGGCUCCAGGAGACAGGUAGGUGGAGGAUGUUUGGCACUGGACCCAUCUGAAGAUGAGCAAGCUGAGGAUUGAAUGAGCAGUGAUGAAACAAGCAGAACACAUCUCGGGGUGCAAAAUGUGCAGGGUUAUCUGAGGUUGCCUGAACUUCUCCCUUCUUCCAGUUCCUAGUAAAAAGAGCCCACGUUAUCAAAAUUACCACCACAGUAAGCGGCAGUGACACUAGCAGG